CCCUAAGGGCAAAUCGCUAUCUUGGCCAGUUUAACAAUACACGUUUUUGUCUCUAUACGGGGAAAAUUACUCGUACAUUGCUGUGCCAGCGCAGCUUGUUGUUUCUGCAUUAAUUGUGAGUAUGCGUUUUGUAAAUAGAGCAAGAUGGCCGCUCUUCUCAAAGUACAGUUUUCUACCACAUACAGUGAGAGCGUUACCAGAUAGAUAGUUAGAUACUUUAGAGAGGAGAAAAACAAAUAAUUCCAAUUAGAAUUUAAUAGUUCAUUGAAAUUUUCGACGAAUGAAUAGAAAGGUGCUGUUUAGAAACAUCAAUCUUGAAAUAGAGAUCACUCUGCUCACAGGCUCUUAUAUUUACAUACAUACAUACAUAUGUGCAUAUGAAUAUAGAAAGGUAUUUUUAUACUGAAGCUCAGGUUCUGCGAAAGUUCGUAAUCGAUUUGCACUUGAACCUUAUUAGGUAGGAUUUCCCUUCCUACUACACCUACAUAUGCGUGUAUGUAUGUGUGAAAGUAAGUAUGUAUAACUUCUAUUAAGGUUCGAGCACAUUAUAUAAUAUCAGCGCACGGAAAGUUGUAUUUAAUAAACUUUUGAUAACUGAAGUGCCAAGCCACCGGUAACAACAUACAUAUCUUCAACAGCAGCAGGGAGAAAGUCAGCAGUGAAUAUUAAUAUUCGAAGACAAGCGAAAGGAACUGCGUCUCUCAAGAUCAUCUAAGCAUAAGUAUAUUUCAGCUAAUGUCUAAUGGAUAUGCAAUCGACCUCGCUAGGGAUAAAUUCAGACUACUACUAACAUUUUAAACUGGCCACUGCAAGCUGAAGAAUCAUUUACAGAACAUGGUCCUAGCUUCACGCGUAAACUGCCGGUUCUGCGUCAGGGAGUCAGAAACACCAGAACACCUGCUAAAUGACUGCACAGCAGUCUGCAGACGCAGGUUUAAGGCCCUUGGAUCCAUGUUUCCUUAUAAGGAAGCAGAAUAUUGGACUUUAUCAAUAUGCUGGGGCUAGGUGAGCCUUUGUGAUUCAGGAGAGGGCACAAUAUAUCGAAGAACGCGGUGUAUUGCUCGUUUAUCAAUCAAUCAGAUCAAAUGGGUUGUUCUCUUAAGACUCCAAAAACGGUUUUGGAAAAAUACUAUACAAUCGGAAUAACGGUAACUGUAGUAAGUAUAAAAGUGUAUACAUUAUAACAAGUAUUCAUUGAAAAUAUAUUGCUAUUGAAUAGCUGGCAGCACCAAGACUCCACUGCUAGUCGCCAAUUUCCACCAGUCGUACAAACAACAGUAAAACAUAUUCGAAUACUACCAACAAUCGGGUAUACACAUUCAUACAUACAUACAUACACUUGUGUGUAGAUUUGUAUGUAAAACCCGGUGAUUGUCGUUUGCCGCUACUAAAUGCCAACACUGCUAAAGCUACAUAGCUAAUCCCGCCAGCAACAACGUGAAGAGGGUAACAAAUAUCAACCAUAACAAGUUGGGGUCUGCUCCAACAAGCUCACCGAUUUCUUUUCACAAUCAGCUAAACACGUACGCCAAAAACGAAUGUUCUGUCUCAUUCUCAUGUGCGCUCGUGUGCCUCAUAUUGAUGGGCAGUGUGGUGGGGUUAUGGGGGCAGGCACCACAUACGCACAUACAUAUGCAGGCAUGGAUCGAAUUCAUUAUACACAGCGGUAAUUGCGAGUGGCGAGUUCAGUUGAAAUGUGGCCUCGAGCGCUUAUAGAACACACACACUUACAAUACAUGUACAUACAUAUAUAUGUAUGUAUGUAUGUAUGCGAGUGUGCGCAUUUAUAAAUGGCUGAGGGAAUGUACCGCCGUUGGAGACGAAAUUUAUUUAUACAAGUUGCUUUUGAACAUGCGAAAAGCUAAUGCGAGAGUGGACGAACGAGUAUCCAUUCGGUGGGCAUAAUGAAUAUGAACGAGAAAUAUGUAUAUGCAUGUUUGUUUGUGUGUUUGUAUAUUUUUACACAUGCCUGUAGAUAAGAAAUGAACAUAUUAAAAUAGUGUGUACUAAAUGCUUCAACUAUAAACGUUAAACGCAUAAAUUACCAACAAUGCGUCUUCGACACGCACUCGUCACUAGAAAAGCGAAAAAAGUGCCUAAUGCAAAAUAAAAGUUAUUCAAAGGAAAAUAUAAUCAUGAAUAAUUAAAGUA